rnacentral:sRNA from 2 species
CAAAAGGAAAACUAGGGUUCCGGCUUCCUUCCUUAUCGGAUGGAGCGACUGGUCCAAGAGUUUUCGGCCUCGCUAACGAGGCUCCACGGAGGGAUAAAAGCCCGGGAGAU